rnacentral:rRNA from 1 species
CAGGAUGAACGCUAGCGACAGGCUAACACAUGCAAGUCGAGGGGCAGCACGGGAGUAGCAAUACAACUGGUGGCGACCGGCGCACGGGUGAGUAACGCGUAUGCAACCUACCUAUCAGAGGGGAAUAACCCGGCGAAAGUCGGACUAAUACCGCAUAAAACAGGGGCACCGCAUGGUGAUAUUUGUUAAAGAGAUUCGCUGAUAGAUGGGCAUGCGUUCCAUUAGGUAGUUGGUGAGGUAACGGCUCACCAAGCCGACGAUGGAUAGGGGAACUGAGAGGUUGGUCCCCCACACUGGUACUGAGACACGGACCAGACUCCUACGGGAGGCAGCAGUGAGGAAUAUUGGUCAAUGGGCGGGAGCCUGAACCAGCCAAGUCGCGUGAAGGAAGAAGGAUCUAUGGUUCGUAAACUUCUUUUGCAGGGGAAUAAAGUGCAGGACGUGUCCUGUUUUGUAUGUACCCUGAGAAUAAGGAUCGGCUAACUCCGUGCCAGCCGCCGC